GUCCCCGUAGUUUAACGGAUAAAAUAUCGGGUUGCGAACUCGAAGCUGUGAGUUCGACUCUCACCGGGGACA
rnacentral:tRNA from 1 species